CCGUGGCGGCGUGCUAUACAUGCAAGUCGAACGAACUCUGGUAUUGAUUGGUGCUUGCAUCAUGAUUUACAUUUGAGUGAGUGGCGAACUGGUGAGUAACACGUGGGAAACCUGCCCAGAAGCGGGGGAUAACACCUGGAAACAGAUGCUAAUACCGCAUAACAACUUGGACCGCAUGGUCCGAGCUUGAAAGAUGGCUUCGGCUAUCACUUUUGGAUGGUCCCGCGGCGUAUUAGCUAGAUGGUGGGGUAACGGCUCACCAUGGCAAUGAUACGUAGCCGACCUGAGAGGGUAAUCGGCCACAUUGGGACUGAGACACGGCCCAAACUCCUACGGGAGGCAGCAGUAGGGAAUCUUCCACAAUGGACGAAAGUCUGAUGGAGCAACGCCGCGUGAGUGAAGAAGGGUUUCGGCUCGUAAAACUCUGUUGUUAAAGAAGAACAUAUCUGAGAGUAACUGUUCAGGUAUUGACGGUAUUUAACCAGAAAGCCACGGCUAACUACGUGCCAGCAGCCGCGGUAAUACGUAGGUGGCAAGCGUUGUCCGGAUUUAUUGGGCGUAAAGCGAGCGCAGGCGGUUUUUUAAGUCUGAUGUGAAAGCCUUCGGCUCAACCGAAGAAGUGCAUCGGAAACUGGGAAACUUGAGUGCAGAAGAGGACAGUGGAACUCCAUGUGUAGCGGUGAAAUGCGUAGAUAUAUGGAAGAACACCAGUGGCGAAGGCGGCUGUCUGGUCUGUAACUGACGCUGAGGCUCGAAAGUAUGGGUAGCAAACAGGAUUAGAUACCCUGGUAGUCCAUACCGUAAACGAUGAAUGCUAAGUGUUGGAGGGUUUCCGCCCUUCAGUGCUGCAGCUAACGCAUUAAGCAUUCCGCCUGGGGAGUACGGCCGCAAGGCUGAAACUCAAAGGAAUUGACGGGGGCCCGCACAAGCGGUGGAGCAUGUGGUUUAAUUCGAAGCUACGCGAAGAACCUUACCAGGUCUUGACAUACUAUGCAAAUCUAAGAGAUUAGACGUUCCCUUCGGGGACAUGGAUACAGGUGGUGCAUGGUUGUCGUCAGCUCGUGUCGUGAGAUGUUGGGUUAAGUCCCGCAACGAGCGCAACCCUUAUUAUCAGUUGCCAGCAUUAAGUUGGGCACUCUGGUGAGACUGCCGGUGACAAACCGGAGGAAGGUGGGGAUGACGUCAAAUCAUCAUGCCCCUUAUGACCUGGGCUACACACGUGCUACAAUGGAUGGUACAACGAGUUGCGAACUCGCGAGAGUAAGCUAAUCUCUUAAAGCCAUUCUCAGUUCGGAUUGUAGGCUGCAACUCGCCUACAUGAAGUCGGAAUCGCUAGUAAUCGCGGAUCAGCAUGCCGCGGUGAAUACGUUCCCGGGCCUUGUACACACCGCCCGUCACACCAUGAGAGUUUGUAACACCCAAAGUCGGUGGGGUAACCUUUUAGGAACCAGCCGUUAAGGUGACAU
rnacentral:rRNA from 1 species